rnacentral:rRNA from 1 species
UACGUAGGGGGCAAGCGUUGUCCGGAUUUAUUUGGGCGUAAAGAGCGUGUAGGCGGCCAAACAGGUCAGCUGUGAAAACUCGAGGCUCAACCUCGAGACGUCGGUUGAAACCGUUUUGGCUAGAGUCCGGAAGAGGAGAGUGGAAUUCCCGGUGUAGCGGUGAAAUGCGCAGAUAUCGGGAAGAACACCCGUGGCGAAGGCGGCUCUCUGGGACGGUUACUGACGCUGAGACGCGAAAAGCGUGGGGAGCGAACAGG